AUGGAGUCUCGCUCUGUCGCCCAGGCUGGAGUGCAGUGGCACGAUCUCGGCUCACUGCAAGCUCCACCUCCCAGGUUCACGCCAUUCUCCUGUCUCAGCCUCCCGAGUAGCUGGGACUACAGGCGCCGGCCACCAUGCCCGGCUAAUUUUUUUUGUAUUUUUAGUAGAGACUGGGUUUCACCAUGUUAGCCAGGAUGGUCUCGAUCUCCUGACCUCGUGA
rnacentral:lncRNA from 1 species